rnacentral:rRNA from 1 species
UACGGAGGGUGCAAGCGUUAUCCGGAUUCACUGGGUUUAAAGGGUGCGUAGGCGGGCAGGUAAGUCAGUGGUGAAAUCUUCGAGCUUAACUCGGAAACUGCCUUUGAUACUAUCUGUCUUGAAUAUGGUGGAGGUAGGCGGAAUAUGUCAUGUAGCGGUGAAAUGCUUAGAGAUGACAUAGAACACCUAUUGCUAAGGCAGCUUACUACGCCUAUAUUGACGCUGAGGCACGAAAGCGUGGGGAUCAAACAGG